rnacentral:rRNA from 1 species
UACAGAGGGUGCAAGCGUUUAAUCGGAAUUACUGGGCGUAAAAGCGUGCGUAGACGGUUAUGUAAGUCAGAUGUGAAAGCCCCGGGCUCAACCUGGGAAUUGCAUUUGAGACUGCAUAGCUAGGGUGCGGAAGAGGGAAGCGGAAUUCCGGUGUAGCGGUGAAAUGCGUAGAUAUCGGAAGGAACACCAGUGGCGAAAGGCGGACUUCCUGGUCCAGCACCGACGUCAGGCACGAAAGCGUGGGGAGCAAACAGG